rnacentral:tRNA from 1 species
GGGCCGCUAGCUCAGUGGUAGAGCACCUGGCUUUUAACCAGAUUGUCGAAGGUUCGAUCCCUUCGCGGCCCACCA